UAGAUAUAUAGUAAAUACUCUGUCGAUAUACUUAAAUAUUAUGUAUGUGGAAAUGCUUUUUGUGUAACAAUAUAUCGUGUUUUAUUUUAUUUUAUCCUAUGACCGGCAUGCGCCACAGUGUCGUGUGUGUAAGUGUUUAGUGGAUUCAUAAAUGACAACGCUAACUCAUUCAUUGCCUGGUAAGAAAUAGGCCGAGUUUUCAUUCAAAUUGUAUUAUAUUAUGAUAAUUUAUUCAUACUAAAUAUUUGAUUGACCAUUUGAAAAUUCUAUAUAACCCAAGCUGCUUGAAUUAUUUUCAUUAGAAAUACAUACAAAUCAAUAAACACUAUAGAUAUAGAUAUCCCAACUUUAUAUUCUAUAAUUAAAUUCUUUAUUUUCGGUUACAGGCACAGACUUGAGCAAAGUCAUACAAAAACGAAGAUCUGGCUCUAUAGGGUAAGAAUUUAAUGUUUAUUUAAUAGUAUGUUAAUUAAUACAAAACCAAAUAAUAAUUGUGCAGCAGAAAUAAAUUUAAGUAUAUUAACUUCUUCCCAUUACUACUGUUAAAAUUCAAUCAUAGACUUUAAAUGUAUAGUCACAGUAUUAUAUUUACUUGCCUAAGUAGGUAUACCUACCCAGUAUGAUGUGUUUCAUAAUAAAAACAAAUUGUUAAUAUUUUUAUAAACUAUUAA